rnacentral:rRNA from 1 species
UACGGGAGGCAGCAGUGGGGAAUAUUGCACAAUGGGCGCAAGCCUGAUGCAGCCAUGCCGCGUGUAUGAAGAAGGCCUUCGGGUUGUAAAGUACUUUCAGUCGUGAGGAAGGUGUUAAGGUUAAUAACCUUAGCAAUUGACGUUAGCGACAGAAGAAGCACCGGCUAACUCCGUGCCAGCAGCCGCGGUAAUACGGAGGGUGCGAGCGUUAAUCGGAAUUACUGGGCGUAAAGGGCACGCAGGCGGUUAAUUAAGUUGGAUGUGAAAUCCCCGGGCUUAACCUGGGAAUGGCAUUCAAGACUGGUUAGCUAGAGUCUUGUAGAGGGGGUAGAAUUCCAUGUGUAGCGGUGAAAUGCGUAGAGAUGUGGAGGAAUACCGGUGGCGAAGGCGGCCCCUGGACAAAGACUGACGCUCAUGUGCGAAAGCUGGGGAGCAAACAGGGAUUAGAUAC